rnacentral:rRNA from 1 species
GACGAACGCUGGCGGCGUGCCUAAUACAUGCAAGUCGAACGGAAAGUCUCUGCCUUUGUGUGCUGCUCGAGAGGCGAACGGGUGAGUAACACGUGAGUAAGCUGCCCUUGACUGCGGGAUAACUUCAGGAAACUGGUGCUAAUACCGGAUAGGAGCUCCUACUGCAUGGUGGUGGUUGGAAAGUUGCGGCGGUUUGGGAUGGACUCGCGGGUAAUCAGCUUGUUGGUGGGGUAGUGGCUUACCAAGGUUUUGGUGGGUAGCCGGCCUGAGAGGGUGACCGGCCACAUAGGGACUGAGGUAGGGCCCAGACGGGUACGGGAGGCAGCGGUGGGAAACAUUGCGCAAUAGGCGGAAGCCGGAUACAACGACGUCGGGUGCGGAAUGACGGCCUUCGGGUUGUAAACGGCUUUCGCCUGUAACGAUGAGUGUGUGACGGUAAUGGGUAAAAAAGCACCGGCUAACUACGUG